rnacentral:lncRNA from 9 species
GUAAUUAUUCAGCUGUCUCUUUCUUUAUUAGGCUACAGACUGAUAAAUGACGUUAGCAGCUGUUUCCGCCCCAGACACUGCUCUAGCUCUAAUUCCUUGCACAGCGUCUGGCACAAAUUUUCCUGGAGAUUCCACUGAGAUCCACUCUGCAUUGCCUGUCACUUUAACCAGGUAUGAUACUUACGGAAGCUCCUGUGCUUUGCCGCUGAGGCUUGUUGAAUCCAUGCCACUGCGGUAAGUCACUACUAUGUCUGAAUUGGCUCUUUUUGUAGAAGUUAGCUGUUUAUUCUCACUGUGGUAACAGGGUUUUGUUAUUGGGUCUCAUUUGUUUGGCAUCCUUGGUGGAAUCAAGCCUUUCGUUUUCAUUGCCUUUUGCUUUCUUUCGUGCUUCCAUUUUUUGUUGUGUGUCUAAAAGUGUUGUAAUGAGAAGGAGACUCACUGAAUAGAAUAUUAACAUGAACCCUUAUAGGGUAUAAGCCUGUUGUGCAAAAGCCAGUUUCACUGACCAUUGAAUUUAUGGUUUCUCAUCAAGCCAAUAUCCAUUUGGGAAAAAUGUUGUGUGUCAACAGUAAACCUGAUAAGGUUCUCCUACCAUCUUUAGUUUCUGAUUUGAGAGCUUGGCUUUGAGAGGUCUGAGAAUUUUCUGCUUGGGGAGUGGGUGCAGACUGUCAGGCCUGUGUUUGGAGGCAGUUUUUGAGCGAACAUUGCUAUGGGGUUGUCUAAGCCUAAAUCAUCUCUUUUCGUUGGAAAGAUUUCUGCUUCUUAUGGGUGCCCUCUAAGUCUUCUACCUAUUUCUCUAAAGGCAUAACUUCACUGAGCUUGAUUUGAGUUUCAGUGGCCAUUCUGGGGAACAUUUGAUUUGAAUACAAUUGUUCAUUUGCUGUUUUUGCCACCAGCAUUUAUGACCCCAGAGACAGCCAUAACUGGCCCCUGUCUUCCCAGGAGACCCUCCAAGACCAGCAGAUAGGUUUGGUCCUGUCUCCUAUAAAGUCACCACCUUUGCCCUGAUCCUCAUGGGCAUGUAAGCUUGUGUUUGCCUGCUAAGAGUAGAGGCUCUGUUUCCCCCAGUCCUGUGAGCUCCUGCAGUCAAACCCCACUGACCUUCAAAGCCAAAUGCUCUGGGGGAUCCACCCCCUGAUGCUAGACUCCAGGCUGGAGAGUCUGACAUUGGGCUCAGAACUCUCACUCCUGUGGGAGAACUUCUGCGAUUCAAUUAUUCUUCAGUUUGUGGGUUGCCCACCUUGGGAGUAUGGGAUUUAAUUGUAUUGUGAGUGUGCCCCUCAUACUCUCUUGUUGAG